CAGCGUCUCUAUCAAGGCUUUGACUCGGUGAUAAUCGAACUCCCAAGAUGUCCAACAUGGUACGACUGUUGUUGGUUGUGGUCGUAGUGAUCGCGACGAUUAAGGUCAAUGGUGUGUCUGGCACUUGUGAGACUGCCAGAUGGAACGACUGUCUGGCUUGGUGUCAGCAGAACGGCUGUUUCGAAUCUACUUUUACCGAAGGUGAGCAAGCUGCAUGUAAGGCAUACUGCUGCGAGAAGGGUACCACUGAAACUCCCUUACAAACAGAUCUCAACCUGGUCAGUGAGGAUUCACCCUUACAGUGCCUUGCUUAUUGGUCGUCCGGUUAUGAAUCUGGUGAAUACCACGGUUGUCAUGAGGGAAGUGAAUCAUCAUCCAGUUGCUGUCAAGGUUCUUGCAGCAAUACCGCAUGCUGCAAUUGACUCCCAGGUGCAUAAUCCGAAUACGACUGAAAUCUCCGACAUUCCGUCUCUCCUGUUUGAAACAAAUAGAAUAAAUACAUCGCGAUGUUAGAAAUAGAGAUAUAAGCAUAAAAA